rnacentral:tRNA from 1 species
GGGGUUGAUUGGGGUACUGGUGUCCCUCACGGUCUUCAAAACCGAUUGUGCGGCGCGUGACGUCGCAGCUGGGUUCGAUUCCCAGGCAGUCCCGCCA